rnacentral:sRNA from 1 species
CUUUUUUGCUAUCUGCGAUAUUUAAAGAUUCGAACCUGCAGCAGGUUUGAGUUGAGCGCAGCGAAACAACGGAGCCGCUCGCGGCGACGGCCCGAAGGGCGAGCGAAGCGAGUCAUCCUGCACGACCCACCA